rnacentral:rRNA from 1 species
CCCUUAGAUGUCCGGGGCUGCACGCGCGCUACACUGAAGGAAUCAGCGUGCUAAAACCAUUGUCGAAAGGCAUUGGUAAACCCAUUAAAAUCCUACGUGAUUGGGAUCGGGGAUUGCAAUUAUUUCCCUUGAACGAGGAAUUCCCAGUAAGUGUGGGUCAUAAGCUCGCGUUGAUUACGUCCCUGCCCUUUGUACACACCGCCCGUCGCUGCCCGGGACUGAGCCGUUUCGAGAAAAGCGGGGACUGCUGCUGUCGGGGCUUUCGGGCCUUGGCUUCGGUGGAAACCGCUUUAAUCGCAGUGGCUUGAACCGGGCAAAANUCGUANCA